CCAAUAAGUGCUACUGCUUCAAAAUAUCGGUGUUGGGUAAAAGGUCACCUUUUAACACAGUACCGAUAUUGUGAAGCACGUUUGCAAAUUAAA
rnacentral:miRNA from 13 species